UACGAAGGGGGCUAGCGUUGUUCGGAAUUACUGGGCGUAAAGCGCACGUAGGCGGAUAUUUAAGUCAGGGGUGAAAUCCCGGGGCUCAACCCCGGAACUGCCUCCAAAACUGCUGGUCUGGAGGUCGAGAGAGGUGAGUGGAAUUCCGAGUGUAGAGGUGAAAUUCGUAGAUAUUCGGAGGAACACCAGUGGCGAAGGCGGCUCACUGGCUCGAUACUGACGCUGAGGUGCGAAAGCGUGGGGAGCAAACAGG
rnacentral:rRNA from 1 species